UACGUAGGUGGCGAGCGUUGUCCGGAAUUACUGGGUGUAAAGCGCGUGUAGGCGGGAGGCCAAGUCUGCUGUGAAAAUCGCCCCGGCUCAACUGGGCGGGGUCGGUGGAAACUGGUCACCUGGAGGACGGUAGAGGCGAGUGGAAUCCCGGUGUAGUGGUGAAAUGCGUAGAGAUCGGGAGGAACACCAGUGGCGAAGGCGGCUCGCUGGGCCGGCCCUGACG
rnacentral:rRNA from 1 species